CUGUCUGCCCCAUUUUUAAAAUGAAGAUAUAAUGUAUGCUUGAAAAUGCAGAGAUCUCUGCUGGAGAAUGUUUGGCAGUUGCAGCAACACCUAGUGAAGUUAGCCAUGAGAACUUUUCUGUCACUCCACAAGGAUCCUUCCUGCCCUUCUCACUCAACCCCUUCCCUCCCAGAGCCAAGCUCUCAUCCGCUUAUCUCACUAUGCAUUCGUUUACCUGUUCUUACCCAAAGUCCUCCUGUGGCCUCUCCACAUAGUCACCUUUCACAUCGAAGUGUGCAGUGAGAUCGCCAGCCCUCCCUAGACCUAGAUGCACUUUUCCUCCAUAGUCGCAGAUCCCAGGUGCCUUCUCAUGAGUAAAGGUUCCUUCCUGAGGACUGCUGUUGCCUUGCUCAGUAAGCAGAGUGAGAGGCAAAUGUUUCAUGUGGCUUGAGGUAAACAAGUGCCAUACCCAGUCCCAUGUGGCUUCUUACCAUCCUCUGUUUGCAUUGACAGGUCACCUUUGGCUCUUCAGGGAUGCGGGGACCCAUGAUGGACUUCUGGUUAACCAAACGGAACUGUUUGUGCCAUCCCUCAAUGUUGAUGGACAGCCUAUUUUUGCCAACAUCACAUUGCCAG
rnacentral:lncRNA from 1 species